rnacentral:rRNA from 1 species
AUACGGAGGAUCCGAGCGUUAUCCGGAUUUAUUGGGUUUAAAGGGUGCGCAGGCGGCCAUUUAAGUCAGCGGUUAAAUCGUGGGGCUCAACCCCAUUCUGCCGUUGAUACUGGGUGGCUUGAUUGCGGUCGAGGUUGGCGGAAUUCGUUGUGUAGCGGUGAAAUGCAUAGAUAUGACGAAGAACACCGAUUGCGUAGGCAGCUGACCAGAUCGCAAAUGACACUCAUGCACGAAAGUGCGGGGAUCGAACAGGAUUAGAUACCCUGGUAGUCCGCACAGUAAACGAUGAAUACUUGUUUUCGGCGAUAUAAUGUCGGAGGCAAAGCGAAAGCGAUAAGUAUUCCACCUGGGGAGUACGCCGGCAACGGUGAAACUCAAAUGAAUUGACGGGG